AGAGUUUGAUCCUGGCUCAGGACGAACGCUGGCGGCGUGCCUAAUGCAUGCAAGUCGGACGCACUGCCUUCGGGCAGUGAGUGGCGCACGGCUGAGGACCACGUGGGUACCUGCCCUCUCGUGGGGGAUAACAGCGCGAAAGCGCUGCUAAGCCCGCAUACGCUCGCCGCAAGGUGAGGAAAACUUGUAAAAGUGCGGGAGGAGGGGCCUGCGGCCCAUCAGGUAGUCGGCGGGGUAACGGCCCACCGAGCCGAUGACGGGUAGCUGGUCUGUGAGGACAGACAGCCAGACUGGGACUGAGACACGGCCCAGACUCCUACGGGAGGCAGCAGCAAGGAAUUUUCCCCAAUGGGCGCAAGCCUGAGGGAGCAACGCCGCGUGGAGGACGACGGCCUUCGGGUUGUAAACUCCUUUUCGGAGGGAAGAGAUGGACGGUACCUCCGGAAUCAGCCCCGACUAACUCUGUGCCAGCAGCCGCGGUAAGACAGAGGGGGCAAGCGUUGUCCGGACUGACUGGGCGUAAAGCGCGCGCAGGCGGUUCGAGGCGUCGGUGCUCAAAGUCCACCGCUUAACGGUGGGAGGCGUGCCGAUACGCUCGAACUGGAGGGCGGGCGAGGGUGGUGGAAUUGCCGGUGUAGUGGUGAAAUGCGUAGAGAUCGGCAGGAACACCAGUGGCGAAGGCGGCCACCUAGCCCGCACCUGACGCUGAGGCGCGACAGCGUGGGGAGCGAACUGGAUUAGAUACCCAGGUAGUCCACGCCGUAAACGAUGCCGACUCGGUCUUCGUGGGGCGAAUAGCC
rnacentral:rRNA from 1 species